rnacentral:rRNA from 1 species
UACAGAGGGUGCGAGCGUUGUCCGGAAUCACUGGGCGUAAAGGGCGCGUAGGCGGGCUAUAAAGUCAGUGGUGAAAUCUUUCAGCUCAACUGGAAAAGUGCCGCUGAUACUGAUAGUCUCGAGGGAGGUAGGGGUCGAUGGAACUAAUGGUGGAGCGGUGAAAUGCGUAGAUAUCAUUAGGAACGCCGGUGGCGAAAGCGAUCGACUGGACCUCUUCUGACGCUGAGGCGCGAAAGCUAGGGGAGCAAACGGG